UCCGAUAUAGUCUAGUGGUUAGGAUAUCUGGCUUUCACCCAGAAGGCCCGGGUUCGAUUCCCGGUAUCGGAG
rnacentral:tRNA from 2 species